CAAAGAAUAGUUUAAUUAAAAUAAUAAUUUUGGAGAUUAUAGAUGAAUUGAUAAAUUUUUCUUUGA
rnacentral:tRNA from 1 species